rnacentral:misc_RNA from 1 species
AAGUCGUAACAAGGUAACCGUAGGUGAACCUGUGGUUGGAUCAUUAGAGUAGUUUGAAAGGGAAGAAUUUGCAUAGUUUUUAAUUGUGCAAGCUUCCUCCCUUUUCUAAACAUAUUCCCCUAAUUGUACAUGUUUCCUGUUUUAUUAGACAGUCCGGCAAUUUGUAAUUGUUGGGCUGGCUAAUUGUGACUAACGCUUAUUAUCUUGUGUAAUUUUUUUUUUGCAUGCAAUGUUUCCAUUCAUAUUGUUGUUUGGUUUCUUGCAUUUUUUAUUAAUGAAUACAACUUUAGACAAUGGAUCUCUUGGCUCUC